rnacentral:rRNA from 1 species
UGGGGAAUAUUGCUCAAUGGGCGCAAGCCUGAUGCAGCCAUGCCGCGUGUAUGAAGAAGGCCUUCGGGUUGUAAAGUACUUUCAGCGGGGAGGAAGGUGUUGUGGUUAAUAACCACAGCAAUUGACGUUACCCGCAGAAGAAGCACCGGCUAACUCCGUGCCAGCAGCCGCGGUAAUACGGAGGGUGCAAGCGUUAAUCGGAAUUACUGGGCGUAAAGCGCACGCAGGCGGUCUGUCAAGUCGGAUGUGAAAUCCCCGGGCUCAACCUGGGAACUGCAUCCGAAACUGGCAGGCUUGAGUCUUGUAGAGGGGGGUAGAAUUCCAGGUGUAGCGGUGAAAUGCGUAGAGAUCUGGAGGAAUACCGGUGGCGAAGGCGGCCCCCUGGACAAAGACUGACGCUCAGGUGCGAAAGCGUGGGGAGCAAACA